rnacentral:rRNA from 1 species
CCGUAACUAUAACGGUCCUAAGGUAGCGAAAUUCCUUGUCGGGUAAGUUCCGACCUGCACGAAUGGCGUAACGAUGGCUCCACUGUCUCAACCAGGGACUCAGUGAAAUUGAUUUUCCGGUGAAAACGCCGGAUACCCGCGACAGGACGGAAAGACCCCGUGCACCUUUACUAUAGCUUGGCACUGGAAUUUGGCUCAAUAUGUGUAGGAUAGGUGGGAGGCUUUGAAGCUGGGACGCUAGUCUCGGUGGAGCCAACCUUGAAAUACCACCCUUAUUGUGACGGAUUUCUAACCAUAUCCCCUGAAUCGGGGAAUGGGACACUGCCUGGUGGGUAGUUUGACUGGGGCGGUCGCCUCCUAAAAUGUAACGGAGGCGCUCGAAGGUUCUCUCAGGCUGAUUGGAAACCAGCCGUCGAGUGCAAAGGCAUAAGAGAGCUUAACUGCGAGACCCACAAGUCAAGCAGAUACGAAAGUAGGACUUAGUGAUCCGGUGGUUCUGAAUGGAAGGGCCAUCGCUCAACGGAUAAAAGGUACGCCGGGGAUAACAGGCUGAUCCCGCCCAAGAGUCCAUAUCGACGGCGGGGUUUGGCACCUCGAUGUCGGCUCAUCGCAUCCUGGGGCUGAAGCAGGUCCCAAGGGUUGGUCUGUUCGCCCAUUAAAGCGGUACGCGAGCUGGGUUUAGAACGUCGUGAGACAGUUCGGUCCCUAUCCGUCGUGGGCGUUGGAAGGUUGAGAGGAUCUGACCCUAGUACGAGAGGACCGGGUUGGACUGACCUCUAGUGCUCCAGUUGUCUCGCCAGAGGCACGGCUGGGUAGCUACGUCGGGAACGGAUAACCGCUGAAAGCAUCUAAGUGGGAAGCCGACCUCAAGAUAAGCCUUCCCUAUUAGGCGACUCGAAGACCACGAGUUUGAUAGGCCGGGUGUGGAAGCGCAGUAAUGCGUGAAGCUAACCGGUACUAAUCCGCCAAUCGGCUUGAUCUA